CCUACGGGUGGCAGCAGUGAGGAAUAUUGGUCAAUGGGCGAGAGUCUGAACCAGCCACGUAGCGUGAAGGAUGACUGCCCUAUGGGUUGUAAACUUCUUUUAUAUGGGAGUAAAAUGUUCCACGUGUGGGAUUUUGUAUGUACCAUAUGAAUAAGGAUCGGCUAACACCGUGCCAGCAGCCGCGGUAAUACGGAGGAUCCGAGCGUUAUCCGGAUUUAUUGGGUUUAAAGGGAGCGUAGAUGGAUUGUUAAGUCAGUUGUGAAAGUUUGCGGCUCAACCGUAAAAUUGCAGUUGAAACUGGCAGUCUUGAGUACAGUAGAGGUAGGCGGAAUUCGUGGUGUAGCGGUGAAAUGCUUAGAUAUCACGAAGAACUCCGAUUGCGAAGGCAGCUUACUGGACUGCAACUGACAUUGAGGCUCGAAAGUGUGGGUAUCAAACAGGAUUAGAUACCCUAGUAGUC
rnacentral:rRNA from 1 species